rnacentral:tRNA from 1 species
GCUCUCAUAGACCAACGGCAGAGUCAGCGAGCUUAAACCUCGUAAAGUAUGAGUUCAAAUCUCAUUGGGAGCACCA